UCUCUUUUCUUUAUAAAUUACCCAGUCUCAGGUAUUUCUUUCUAGCAAUGUGAGAACAGACUAAUAAAACAGGAAGGAUGGUGGUACCAUUCACCCAGACAGGCAAUACAGGAUCAGAGUGUGGUUGGAGGAAACAUGGCAACAGCUGCUAACUAUUGGUGACUAAGGCCAUUCUGAGCUCACAGCUGAGGAUCAACUGAAUGAAAUCCCCCACAUUCUAAAUUCCUAGAACCACAGCUGUUGGAGUGGGCCGGCCACACCCUGACAAGGCUUGCUAAGAGAAAUCAGGAAGCAGAACCAGCAUCACCACCUCUCACCCUAAUAUUAAGUGAGGCUGAAAGGGAGAAGGCCGUUGCCUUUUAUAGAAGUACAGUGCUCUUUUAGGAUGAUUUGUUCCCCAGAAUGGUAGGAGGUGGGUUGCCUCCCAUCCUCAAAGCCAAGGAUAAGAGCUUUCCAGAGAACCACUCACAGGUUUGUAAGUAUUUGAUGUGCGUUACCUGUCUGAACAGCUGAAGGAUGCUACGCUCACUAUCCAUCCUCUGUGCCACCACAAUAGAGGAAAAAUACAUUGGAAAGAGAUGGCAUGAUGGGGGACUGCCAGGCAAAGCAGGGAUCAAAACUGUCUUCACCUGAGGUCAUGGUAUCCUGGAGGUUUGAAAGGUGGAUUCCACAAAAACCUGAAGACCCAGGAAUUGGCUGUGCUACUACACAUUUGAACACUUCCAACAUGAAACAUUGGAAUAACCCCAAAUAUUACUGCCACAAAGAUAGCCAUGGAGAAUACAGGUUAUGAAUCAAGGAUAUUGCUGGUCUGUAAAAGUCAUCACUUGAAACUCCUGGAAUUUUAAUACCUAAAAUCCAUGUAAAUGGGGCAGACCUAGAGACUGGUAAUAAAUCCUCACAACACAGUGGAAUACAUGUACAAAACAGAUCUGAACAGAAAGUGGUGAGAACACAAGGGAAGGAGCAAAUUGUUCUGCAGAGAGGCCAAGAACAGCUUCUUGGGAGAAGAGAAACAAGGUCUGGAAGGAUGACCAACAGUUUUUCCAAAAACCGUUGUAGGAAGAGAGCAUGAAUUAACUGAAUUCAGCACCAUUUGCUUCAGAAAGCCUUCCCUGACCAUCACUCCGCUUCCCAUCCUGUUCUGCUAAGACUCACAAUUUCCUGCUGAUAAGGAAAUACUUCAGCCAAAUUAAAUUUAAAGAGUUUAAUUUAGCAAUGAAUGAUUCACGAAUCGGGCAGCCUCCAAAAUCACAGCAGAUUCACAGAGAAUCCAGGGAUGCCUCAUGGUCAGAACAAAUCUAUAGACAAAAAAGGUAAAGUGAUGUACAGGAAUUGGAAGUGAGGUACAGAAACAGUGAGAUUGGUUCCAGCUCGGCAUUUGCCUCAUUUGAACACUUAGCAGUCUGUGAGUGGUUGAAGUAUGGCUGCUGGGACUGGCCGACAUUCAGUUUAGUAGUACGAUACAGGUGCAUACUACUAAGGUUUUCAUUUUGUCUGACUAUUAAGCUAGGUUACACAUCCACAAGGACUCAAAUAUAAAAAUACGGAGUCCUUCUCAGGCCAUAUUUAGUUGCUUUAACACUGCGUACACCUUAACCAUACCACAUAGCAUAUGGUUUCCAUGUCAAUUUCACCCACCAGUUCCUUAAGGGAUAAAGCAGGUAUCUUCUUUAGAUUCUGGUGCCUACUUGUUUGAUGAAAGGAAGGAAGGGGGAGGAAAGGAAGAGAGGGAAAAGACUGACAGACAUUCUGAGAGGGGUGUCCAGAUAUCCUGAGGGCUGUGGCAGAGAGGGAUGUGAAUUACCCAGGGUGAUGCCUCCAGGGUGAUGGCUCUUUGCCCCAGAAGAUGUGUGCAGGGCAAACUCUCUUAUGCCUACAGGGACAGUGAAGGAAGGUAGUCUUAGGUAUAAGGCAGCAAAAAGUAGUGGGACUGUGGUGAACAGAGAGGACACGCUCUGUCUAAUAAUUGUUAUGUAGAAAUGCUGGCCCUGUGUGGCCAGACUGAUUGCAUUUUUUUCUUUCUUCUCUUUUUUUUUUCUUUGAGACGGAGUCUCACUCUGUCACCCAGGCUGGAAUGCAGUGGCGUGAUCUCAGUUCACUGCAGCCUCUGCCUCCCAGGUUCAAGCAAUUUGCCUAUCUCAGCCUCCUGGGACCACAAGCAUGUGCCAACACACCCAGCUAAUUCUUAUAUUUUUGAUGGAGACAGGGUUUUACUAUGCUGGCCAGGCUGAUUUCAAACUCCUCACCUCAAGUGAUCUGCCUGCGUCAGCCUCCCAAAGUGCUUGGGAGUAUAGGCAUGAACCACCACGCCUGGUCUGGAUUUUUUUUUCUAAAUUCUUUUUUUUAUAUGUUUUAAAACAUUUUUUGAUCAUUUUGUUUGUUUGUUUUUGAGAUGGAGUUUUGCUCUUGUUGUCCAGGCUAGAGUGCUAUGGCAUGAUCUUGGCUCACCUCAACCUCUGCCUCCUGGGUUCAAGUGAUUCUCCUGCCUCAGCCUCCUGAGUAGCUGGGAUUACAGGUACAUGCCACCACACUGGCUAAUUUUGUAUUUUUAGUAGAGACGGGGGUUUCUCCAUGUUAUCAGGCUGGUCUUGAACUCCUGACCUCAGGUGAUCCGCCUGCCUCAGCCUCCCAAAGUGCUGGGAUUACAGGCAUAAGCCACUGAGCCCAGCUUGAUCAUCAUUUUAAUCAGUUAAUACUGAUUAUAUUUUUUCCCCAACGAAGUAAGAAUCAAUAUUUUGGAACAAGAAAUUUUCUACAUUUUAAAUACUGGUCACAUUAAGCAUUAGACUAGAUUCUGGCCUUGAUUUGACAGUUUGUGGUUUCUGGUA